CCACUAGAAACAAAAACCAACAAAUAAAGUUAGAAUCUUUUGAAUUCCCAGAUACAAUUUUUGAUAACCCCAACAAAAAUUUUUGAACCCACAAACAAAAUGAGCACCCAAAACUCAUCAAAUUCAACAUUUCUGCCACCAGAAACAAAAACCCACAAAUAAAGUUAAAAUCUUUUGAGUUUCCAGAUCAAAAUUUCAAUAACCCCAACAAAAUUUUUUGACCCACAAACAAAAUGAGCACCGAAAACUCAUCAACUUCAACAUUUCAGCCACUAGAAACAAAAACCCACAAAUAAAAAUACAAUCUUUUGGGUUUUCCAGAUCAAAUUUUUUGAACCCACAAACAAAAUGAGCACCCAAAACUCACCAAAUUCAACAUUUCAGCCACUAGAAACAAAAAC
rnacentral:lncRNA from 1 species